GUGCUCUAAGCAUGGAACAAGUCUUCCUAUUGGAAUACACAUCUCUGUCUGGGAGGCUCUGGAAUAUAACCCCAUGAAAUGCAAGGACUGUGUCUCUUUCACCAUUGUAACCAGAACACCUGAAAGUGUGAUUUCCAAGUUCACAACACAGUGAUGCAACAAUUACAUACAUUACACAGUGUUCACACAGGGAGUGUAGUUACCAUCUGUCACCAGAAAAGGGACUCUGCGGCACCCUAGAGCGGAGCCUUUCGCCGCCCCCUGUCCCCGGAGCACGGAGCACGCAUGCGCAGCAGACUGCAGCCCACGUUGCUGUCGCCAGUUUGCCAGUGGGGAGAGAACGGGCGCCACGCUGUGGUGCAGGGGAGCCACUGCCACCUGCAGACGGAUCCCUUCCUCUGGUCAGCCUCCACUCUACCUCUGAAAAAUCGGGGUGAUACACAGGCUUUCUGGAGUUGUCUGCUAGGCUAUAGAGAUCCCCGCCUUCUCCUUCACACAGAAGUUCCUGGGGUUCAACUCUUACCGACUUCACCGAGCUCCAAACUCUGGGUAGCAAGGCAGCCAGUUAAAUCCCAGAUCCUCCCGAGCUUUCCAGGGCGAGGCGGGGAUUUAAGAGCAGCCUUGCACUAGGAUGAUCCUCAUCUUCCCUGCAGGGCUCACAUUUCUAUUUUUUA